rnacentral:rRNA from 1 species
GACGAACCGUGCGAACGUUGUUCGGAAUCACUGGGCGUACAGGGUGUGUAGGCGGUUUGGUAAGCCUUCUGUUAAAGCUUCGGGCCCAACCCGGAAAGCGCAGAGGGUACUGCCAGGCUAGAGGACGGGAGAGGAGCGCGGAAUUCCCGGUGUAGCGGUGAAAUGCGUAGAGAUCGGGAGGAAGGCCGGUGGCGAAGGCGGCGCUCUGGAACGUUACUGACGCUGAGACACGAAAGCGUGGGGAGCAAACAGG